rnacentral:lncRNA from 1 species
GAGCAAGGUCGGUCAGCACGGUUUUCAUCAGAAUGAAGUUUCUUUCCAAGAGGUGGCCAGGUAGAUCCUGUGUCACACUGCCACCCCCGGAGAGCCACAGAUUCAGAGACCACCCAGUCUGGAGAGGACCCAAGGCCUGACGUGCCCACGCUGGGAGAGUGCAACGGAAGAGUUGGCUAUUCCGGAAUAUAAGAUUGCCCGGUCAUCACGCAUAUUGGGCCCCCAAAAACGUCGACUUGAAAUCUUUCUUCGAUGCAGCAAUAGAGUUAGAGAAGGAAGCCGCUAGUGGCCCCAUCUGACCAUACAGCACAGACACAGUGCUGCUUUGGAGACUGUCCUUGCACCUUUCCGGGUUCUCACUGCCUAUUCCAGAAGAGGCUCUCAUAAGCAGAAAUCCCAGGAAGAGACCUUUCGACACAAGGCCUUAGAAUCCCCUUCUUCUCUCAUGUUAGA